UUAAUUUAUUCUUCCCCACAACUAGGCAGGUGCACGGUCUUCCUAUUACAUUUGGGCAGCACUGCCUAGCUCUGUGUUAGCAUCUAAGAAACAGGUGGGCAGACCCACGAAAAAAUGUUGGUGGGCACUGCUUGCAUAUUUGAGAAAUGGGUGUUACAGUCCUCUUCCCACCCCUGAGAUGCAACAAUAGGUGUCUUGCCAUAUGUUCAGUACCAAGCAGCUACUAACCAGCUUCAGAGAAGCUUUUGGCAACUGAAAUACACAGGAAGAAAUGCGUUUUAUGAAAUAGGGCAGGAGAGACAUCUCAGAAGCUGCUCACUUUAUACUUCUAGUGCAACCUCUGCUGCUCUGCAAGCUACCAGUGACACGUUUUGUGCUGUUUGCACCUUAGUACAGUCUUGGACAAGAACCACAUCCUGUGUAUUAUUGCUAUUUUAUGACAAUAGGUAAAGCAAUUUUAAAACAUCAGACUGCCCAUCUGCCAUGAACUACUUUUCACAAUAUUCAAAAUAUAUGUGUUUCCCUUUCCUGUUUUGAUAUGAGUGAAAUGCAGACCAGAGUUAGGUUAUGAGACUGAGGGCCAGGAAUUUUUCUACUUUUAAUCCUGUCUCUGACAUUGAUUCCUUCAUUAGCCUUGGGCAAGUCAUUUCACUUGGAUAUAUUCGAAUCACCACAUCUAUAAAAUGGAGAUGCAGUGAGGUGUCUUGGAGAUUUAUUAGGCUGUGUCUGCAGCAUACUUUGAAGAAGUCAAACCAUAUACACCUGUUAAUGAAUGGAAUUUUAAAAUAUGAAUGGAAACAUCUCGUUUCAGAAGCUCAGGUUCUGAGUCAGCAUCCUGCAAACCUGUGACUACUACUGCAGCAAUUUGACAUUCACAAUGUAAACUCAUAAAAAAAAAUUAGCUGAAAUUUAGCAUCAUGGCAACCGAACAGCAGACAGCUCCCCAGUGAGAAAUGUGUUGUUGCUGCUGGACGUUACGUUGUCCAUAUGAAAUCGAAAAUGCAGUUUUUGCAGUUAAGUAUUUCCGUGGGUAAUUUAGAGAGUACUCGCUCAGUGACUGGUAGGUAUGUAGGGAAAUUGGACACCCUAAUCAUUUCAUCACUAUGGAGUAGAACUGUAGCCUUGCAGGAGCAUUUUGUUGCAGCCUCAGUAAAGACAAGAUGUCACCUAACUUCUCAUUUUGCUUUGGCUAGAGACUUGGAAGCUUCAAGAGGACUCAUAGCAUUGCAUGCACCAGUUGUGUGUGAUUGAUGGGGUUCUGUUCAGCAGUCGGUCUGUAGAAGGGCAUCUGAGAUGGCCACCAUUCUGCCUUGGUGGUGGUAAAGUCCUCGGUGUCAGCAGAACAGCAUGGAGCUGGCUGCGUGCCCUCCCCGUGCAGAUGCUCAGAGUCGCACACUGGGGUGCAUGAGUCAUUGGCCUGAGCUGAAAUAGGCUGGUGCUGCUCCUGUGUUGUCCUUACUCAUGCUGGACUUUCUGUAGGCAAGAAUAAAUCUCCCCUGUGACUAAUCUGCUCCUGACUCACCAACUGUAUCAGAACGCAGACCUUGAAGAGCUGUGGGAAAGAGCAGUGCUCUGAGGCAUAUGCUAAAUGAAAGCUGACCUCGGCAGUAGACAGAGGGAUCACAGCCACCUGCCAUGGGAGGUGGGUUUGGCAGAGCUGCAGCGGUGGAAGCACAGCUUGCAACCAGCCUUUGGCUGCAUCUCUGCUGCCUCUGCUGCCUCUCUGCUCGCCAAUCCCAGUCAGCCAUGGUGCUGUAGCUACCAGGUGGGAACGGAGACCCUUUGUCCUACCUUGGAAGGGGGUAGGUGGUACUGAGCCACCCGCAGCGUGGAAUGCAUCUGAGUAGGAAACACAGGCACUCGGAGUGCAGUGGGGUUACAAGGAGAGCAAGGACAGGAAGGAUGGGUCUCCAGAGGGAAACAAAGUAAUGCUAAAAAGCCACGGUACCUUUCUAAGAACGGAUGAAUCUGAAAUUAGUCACUGAAGGCGGCUCGAAUUCAGCCCUCCUUGCUCAGACACUGCUGUGAUUGCACAUGAGUCAGUGCACAGGCGCUGACCAGAGCUGUGUGUUCUGCCUGCUUACAGUUACCCCGUCAGCUACAGAGCGGUGGGAAAGGCACGCAAGGGACAGUGCCAGCCCACGUGCUGCAGGGCACAGCGCUGCACCUGGGUCUGAGAGGGAGCAGUGAGCACAGGUCACUCACUGCAGGGCACUGCAGCCACCCAUGUGGGAGCAGCAGCAGCAGCCUUUGGCUAGGGAGGAAGGAAGAGCUCAAAGCUCCCAGGGGUCCUGCAGAUGGAUGUGGAGCAUCCUUUCCCCCUCUGGGGGAAGAUUCAGCACGGGUUGUCCCCCUCGCCGAGUGUAGCACCCCUCCUGCAGGGGACAGCAGCCUGUCUCACAUCUCUGGCUGUGUGCGUGCAGCCUGGUGGGGAAGGCUCCUUGACCAGUCACAGCUACCUUCCAGGACGUGGUAGAGAAAUUAUCCUCCAGGAGCUGGGAAGGGGCAUACCCCUGAGAGAGACAUUCCUGUCCCAGGAGCAUUUCUGUCCUCUGCAGCCUGGCGCACCAUUCAGCACACAGAGCUCAGCUGUGGCUGCUUCCUGCGCGGGCCGGCAGCUUGCUUCUCCAGUCCCUGCUGCACUUGGGAGUCAGAACCAAAGCUGUAACUUCUGCUAGCAUGUAAUAUUGCAAAAAAAAAGGACUUUUAAAAAGUCAAGAAUUUCUCUGCGUGGUAACACGUUUUAAAAGUCUGUGGUGUGGUGUUCCUGCCUUCUGAGCCACGUGCAGCUGGGAGUGUUGGCAGAGGGAGCCGCUCAGCCCUGGGAUGGGCACAGUGCUAUUUGGUGUGAGCUGCUUGCAAUUCACAUAACCACUCUGAGAAGAGGCCCUAGGGAUUUUAUGCAGUCGUGCACCCUGUGACUUGGAAAGAUGGGUUCUGUCCUGAGUUUGGCUGAAAACAAGAGAGAAGAGGCCAUGUUCAAGUGCAAGAUGGGCCUGCUACCUGCUGUUCUAAAGAUGACAUUGAGAGUUAACUGGGGGAGAGAAACAGAGAUGGAAGAAAAGGGGAGAAAAGUUCUUUGGCAAAGGUGUUCUGUCUUGGGUGAGACUUCUUAUCCAGAUCUUAGCAGAAGAGACACCAGAGAAAGAGACAUGAUUCCAGAGACCACUUUCUGCACUUACUGAGCAGAUGUGGAGCCAGGCGGCCUCGAAGGCUGUGGGUUUUCAUUGGGAAAAGUAAACAGGCUUGGAAAGAAAGGGAAGGAGCAAGUAAGGAUCUUCAAGGGAAGCCUGCAAGCGUCAGUGUGCUGUAGCACAUUUCAAACCCACGCGACAAAACACGUGUGUACAUGUAGAUAUGUAUGUGUCGACAGGUUAUAUAAGGAGACUUUUUCUUUUAUCUUCUGCUGUUCUAUCCUCCAGCUCCAUGGGUUCUCUCUGCUGCCAACGCAGGCAGACAGAGGUGACCCUGCUCCUCCCCUGCUGCCCCACGAGCGUGUCUAUGGGCUGCAGACCAGCAGUGGAUUGCUGCUGCUGGUUACAUGGCUUCUACUGGGCAAUGCCAGGCAUGGACAUUUGUUUCCCCAGCUCUCCUUUACUUGCUCUGUUUUCAUGUGUGACCUCAGCCCUGGGUGUUCUGAGUGCCAACAGGUCAAGGGAUGCCAAGGACAGCGUACUUGGCAGUGCUUGGAUCCUGGAAGGAGCAGACAGAUUGGCUGCAGGAGGUACCCACAGCAGUGUUUCUGGUAGGAUGCUUCUGUGGUCAGAGAGGAAGGAGGAAGAGAGGUGGGCAGGGAGCAGGAACAAAGCCUGGGGCCAUGAGGUGCCCAAGUGCCUUGAGAUGAUGGAGGGAAGCCACCCACUCCUGCUGCUCUUCUGCUCUGGAGGAAUUUACAGAGCUUUCUGGGGGAAUUCCUAUGAUUUUUAUUUUUUAAAGUUUUUAAAAACACCUACUCUGAGCUCAGCGUGCAUUCGCUGUUCAUAUUGUAACUUUUAUUAAAAAGUAAUCUGGGUCUGUGUGUGUACUAUAAAGUACCUCUGCUGGUCCUGGAAACAUAAAUAGGGCUUGUUCUUUCUUGCGUCAUCCCUUCCCAGCAUUGCAAAACAUGGCGCACAACUGGAAGAAGGAAGGUGUUGGUGCAAGCAGGGAAUGUAUAGCACACAGUGACAGGAAUCUGUGCAAACAACCAGAAUGGGAUGAAAGGGCUUUUAAGACUAACUCCUAUCUUCAAGGAACUGAAAACAAAGUUGUUUCCUCUCCAGCACUCUUCUGGGUCACAUCCUGGCCACACUGCAGAGAGGAGCCCCCUCGUCUCAGCGUGGCACACAGAGACUUCCCUUUACACAUCACACUGAUGGGCAUCAGGAACCCAGGUUUGCGUGUAGCUGUUAGCAUCACAGAGCUGCUGCCCUAGGAUGAGAGCUGCAGAUCUGUCAUCUCCUGUGCAUUUGAUCAUGAGUUGGACUUGGAAAACCAUGAGAUGGGUUUAAAUUGGCGGAGUUAAACUCAUGGUAGACCUUGCAUUUUCCUGGUGUUUUUUUUUUUUUUUUUUUUCAGUCCUCACUUGGUACCUUUA